CAAAGGAGCAAUCCGCUGAAAGAUGGGCUCGCGUCCGAUUAGGUAGUUGGCGGGGCAACGGCCCACCAAGCCGACGAUCGGUAGCCGGACUGGGAGGUUGAACGGCCACAUUGGGACUGAGACACGGCCCAGACUCCUACGGGAGGCAGCAGUGAGGGAUAUUGGUCAAUGGGGGAAACCCUGAACCAGCAACGCCGCGUGAGGGAAGACGGUUUUCGGAUUGUAAACCUCUGUCCUCUGUGAAGAUGAUGACGGUAGCAGAGGAGGAAGCUCCGGCUAACUACGUGCCAGCAGCCGCGGUAAUACGUAGGGAGCAAGCGUUGUCCGGAUUUACUGGGUGUAAAGGGUGCGUAGGCGGCUUUGCAAGUCAGAAGUGAAAUCCAUGGGCUUAACCCAUGAACUGCUUUUGAAACUGCAGAGCUUGAGUGGAGUAGAGGUAGGCGGAAUUCCCGGUGUAGCGGUGAAAUGCGUAGAGAUCGGGAGGAACACCAGUGGCGAAGGCGGCCUGCUGGGCUCUAACUGACGCUGAGGCACGAAAGCGUGAGUAGCAAACAGGAUUAGAUACCCUGGUAGUCCACGCUGUAAACGAUGAUUACUAGGUGUGGGUGGACUGACCCCAUCC
rnacentral:rRNA from 1 species